AAGAAACUAACAAGGAUUCCCCUAGUAACUGCGAGUGAAGCGGGAAAAGCUCAAAUUUAAAAUCUGGCAGUCUCUGGCUGUCCGAGUUGUAAUCUAGAGAAGUAAUGCCCGUGCUGGACCGUGUAUAAGUCUCCUGGGAUGGGGCGUCAUAGAGGGUGAGAAUCCCGUCUUUGACACGGACUACCAGUGCAUUGUGGUAUGCUCUCAAAGAGUCGAGUUGUUUGGGAAUGCAGCUCAAAAUGGGUGGUAAAUUCCAUCUAAAGCUAAAUAUUGGCGAGAGACCGAUAGCGAACAAGUACCGUGAGGGAAAGAUGAAAAGAACUUUGGAAAGAGAGUUAAACAGUACGUGAAAUUGCUGAAAGGGAAACGCUUGAAGUCAGUCGCGUUGGCCGGGAAUCAGCCUUGCUUUUGCAUGGUGUACUUUCUGGUUGACGGGUCAGCAUCAAUUUUGACCGCUGGAAAAAGGCCUGGGGAAUGUGGCAGCUUCGGCUGUGUUAUAGCCCCUAGUCACAUACAGUGGUUGGGAUUGAGGAACUCAGCACGCCGCAAGGCCGGGUUUCGACCACGUUCGUGCUUAGGAUGCUGGCAUAAUGGCUUUAAGCGACCCGUCUUGAAACACGGACCAAGGAGUCUAACAUGCCUGCGAGUAUUUGGGUGGAAAACUCAAGUGCGUAAUGAAAGUGAAAGUUGAGAUCCCUGUCGUGGGGAGCAUCGACGCCCGGACCAGAACUUUUGGGACGGAUCCGCGGUGGAGCAUGUAUGUUGGGACCCGAAAGAUGGUGAACUAUGCCUGAAUAGGGUGAAGCCAGAGGAAACUCUGGUGGAGGCUCGUAGCGAUUCUGACGUGCAAAUCGAUCGUCAAAUUUGGGUAUAGGGGCGAAAGACUAAUCGAACCAUCUAGUAGCUGGUUCC
rnacentral:rRNA from 1 species